rnacentral:rRNA from 1 species
CCUACGGGAGGCAGCAGUAGGGAAUCUUCGACAAUGGGCGAAAGCCUGAUGGAGCAACGCAGCGGGGAUGAAGAAGGUCUUCGGAUCGUAAAACCCUGUUGUUAGAGAAGAAAGUGCGUGAGAGUAACUGUUCACGUUUCGACGGUAUCUAACCAGAACGCCACGGCUAACUACGGGCCAGCAGCCGCGGUAAUACGUAGGUGGCAAGCGUUAUCCGGAUUGAUUGGGCGUAAAGGGAACGCAGGCGGUCUUUUAAGUCUGAUGUGAAAGCCUUCGGCUUAACCGGAGUAGUGCAUUGGAAACUGGGAGACUUGAGUGCAGAAGAGGAGAGUGGAACUCCAUGUGUAGCGGUGAAAUGCGUAGAUAUAUGGAAGAACACCAGUGGCGAAAGCGGCUCUCUGGUCUGUAACUGACGCUGAGGUUCGAAAGCGUGGGUAGCAAACAGGAUUAGAUACCCCUGUAGUC